rnacentral:rRNA from 1 species
AGUGAACGCUGGCGGUAGGCCUAACACAUGCAAGUCGAACGGCAGCACAGUAAGAGCUUGCUCUUACGGGUGGCGAGUGGCGGACGGGUGAGGAAUACAUCGGAAUCUACUUUUUCGUGGGGGAUAACGUAGGGAAACUUACGCUAAUACCGCAUACGACCUACGGGUGAAAGCAGGGGAUCUUCGGACCUUGCGCGAUUGAAUGAGCCGAUGUCGGAUUAGCUAGUUGGCGGGGUAAAGGCCCACCAAGGCGACGAUCCGUAGCUGGUCUGAGAGGAUGAUCGGCCACACUGGAACUGAGACACGGUCCAGACUCCUACGGGAGGCAGCAGUGGGGAAUAUUGGACAAUGGGCGGAAGCCUGAUCCAGCCAUACCGCGUGGGUGGAGAAGGCCUUCGGGUUGUAAAGCCCUUUUGUUGGGAAAGAAAAGCAGCAGGUUAAUACCCCGCUGUUCUGACGGUACCCAAAGAAUAAGCACCGGCUAACUUCGUG